UACAGAGGGUGCAAGCGUUGUUCGGAAUUAUUGGGCGUAAAGCGCGUGUAGGCGGCUUUGCAAGUCGGGUGUGAAAGCCCUCGGCUCAACCGAGGAAGUGCGCCCGAAACUGCAGAGCUUGAGUACCGGAGAGGAUGGCGGAAUUCCCCAAGUAGAGGUGAAAAUUCGUAGAUAUGGGGAGGAACACCGGUGGCGAAGGCGGCCAUCUGGACGGAUACUGACGCUGAGACGCGAAAAGCGUGGGUAGCAAACAGG
rnacentral:rRNA from 1 species